rnacentral:rRNA from 1 species
UACGUAGGGACCGAGCGUUGUCCGGAUUCAUUGGGCGUAAAGAGCUCGUAGGCGGCUGUUCAAGUCGAACGUGAAAACUCGGAGCUCAACUCCGAGCCUGCGUUCGAUACUGGACGGCUAGAGUCUGGUAGGGGGAUCUGGAAUUCCUGGUGUGAGCGGUGGAAUGCGCAGAUAUCAGGAAGAACACCGGUGGCGAAGGCGGGUCUCUGGGCAGUAACUGACGCUGAGGAGCGAAAGCGUGGGGAGCGAACAGG